CCUACGGGGGGCAGCAGUGGGGGAUAUUGCACAAUGGGGGGAACCCUGAUGCAGCGACGCCGCGUGUGGGAAGACGGUCCUCUGGAUUGUAAACCACUGUCCCCAGGGACGAAAAUGACGGUACCUGGGGAGGGAGCUCCGGCUAACUACGUGCCAGCAGCCGCGGUAAUACGUAGGGAGCGAGCGUUGUCCGGAAUUACGGGGUGUAAAGGGAGCGUAGGCGGGGAUGCAAGUUGGGUGUCAAAACUACCGGCUAAACUGGUAGUCGCACUCAAAACUGCAGCUCUUGAGUGAAGUAGAGGCAGGCGGAAUUCCUAGUGUAGCGGUGAAAUGCGUAGAUAUUAGGAGGAACACCAGUGGCGAAGGCGGCCUGCUGGGCUUUUACUGACGCUGAGGCUCGAAAGUGUGGGGAGCAAACAGGAUUAGAUACCCUGGUAGUC
rnacentral:rRNA from 1 species